GAUGAAGAACGCAGCGAAAUGCGAUACGUAGUGUGAAUUGCAGAAUUCAGUGAAUCAUCGAAUCUUUGAACGCACAUUGCACCUCUCGGUAUUCCGGGAGGUAUGCUUGUUCGAGCGUCAUUUGUACCCUCAAGCUCUGCUUGGUGUUGGGUGUUUGUUCCGCCUCUGUGUGUGAACUCGCCUCAAAACAAUUGGCAGCCGGCGUACUUGUUUCGGAGCGCAGCACAUUUUGCGAUCCAGAUCAACGUACAGCGGCAUCCAAGAAGCCUUAUUUAACGCUCUUGACCUCGGAUCAGGUAGGGAUACCCGCUGAACUUAAGCAUAUCAAUAAGCGGAGGA
rnacentral:misc_RNA from 1 species